rnacentral:rRNA from 1 species
ACAAGCGGUGGAGCAUGUGGUUUAAUUCGAUGCAACGCGAAGAACCUUACCUGGCUUGACAUCCCGAGAAUCUUCUGGAAACAGGAGAGUGCCCUUCGGGGAACUCGGUGACAGGUGUUGCAUGGCUGUCGUCAGCUCGUGUCGUGAGAUGUUGGGUUAAGUCCCGCAACGAGCGCAACCCUUAUCUUUAAUUGCCAGCAUUCAGUUGGGCACUUUAAAGAGACUGCCGGUGUUAAACCGGAGGAAGGUGGGAUGACGUCAAGUCCUCAUGGCCUUUAUGCUUAGGGCUACACACGUGCUACAAUGGGUGGUACAAAGAGAAGCCAACUCGCGAGAGCGCGCCAAUCUCAAAAAGCCAUCCUCAGUUCGGAUUGGAGUCUGCAACUCGACUCCAUGAAGUUGGAAUCGCUAGUAAUCGCGGAUCAGCAUGCCGCGGUCGAAUACGUUCCCGGGCCUU